UUAAUAAACAGUUUUUAACGAUCUUUCAAGUUUCAAUCACGCCGCUUACUAAAUGAUGGGACUGUUAUAAACCCUGCCAUAUGCUAUCCACUCUGGUAAAUUAAUGGACAGUCUGACCACUAAUUUAAAUUUUUGAGAUAUAAUAUUUGGAUUCGAUCCCAAUAUGGAUAGAUAGGCGAAGUAUUUCCAUCAUGGUUUCCACACGUCCAAUAUGUUCGAUUCUUAGUUAAAUAUUCUCGUUGGCGGGAAAGCAAUGCUUGUCGGGAAAUUUGUUCGUGGCAUUAUUAAAACUUGUCUUGCUGGAGGCCUCAUUUUUGCAGACAGAAGCGAACCUGACAAACGUAAAUUCAUUUCAUCCGACAAUUAAUAUAAUUAAUUAACUUCAUAAAUGUCUGCAAUCAUCUCAUCGAAAGAUCUGAAAAGAGAAAUUUGCACAAAAAGCGUGGGAGAAGUGGAUCUGAUGACAUUACUCAAAAACUUCUAUGAUUUCCAGGAAGAAAGAGUUUUUACUUAUCAUUUAUUUGAUGAGUUGAAACUCUUUAGUUUGGCAUUAUGUGAUCCGGCAUGCUUUUACAGUUCACUACUAGAUCCCUCAACCUUGGAUGACCUGCGUGCCGGGCAGUUUUGAAGUUAAGCUUAAUGAUAUUUUAAUAAAUUUAAAUGUUCUAAUUGAAUGAUUUUAAUAUAAAAUGUUUUUGAUUAUUUUACAAGUUAUUAAAUCGGUAAUUUUAAUUUUAUAUGAUACAAAUUUUUGUUGUUUUUAUUUACAAAAAAAUUAUAGAAAAUUGUAUCAUUUUGAAAAACAAGAUCCAAUAAAACUUUUAUUGGAUUAAUUUCAGUUUAGCCAAUUUUAUUAUUUCUAAACCAAUAAUUAAUAUACUUAUAUCAAAUUUAGAAAAUUAUUUAUCAUCAUCAUUUUAUCUUAUUACUAAUAAUUAAAAAAUAAUAAUAAAAUUAAUCUAUCAAAUAAUUGAAAUUAACAAUCACUGGGAAGUAUAAAUUAAAUUUCUUAAUGGGAGAAUUAUAAAAAUUUUGAAUAAAGUACAAAAAUUAGAUUAUUGACAUUUUUUUAAAUAUUUCUGAACUAAUAAUGUAGAUAUUGGCAUAUACUUUAACUUCUAAAAGUAAUUUAUAUGAUAGUGGACUUCUGGUAAAGAAUGUUAUCUUGUUACAUUCUGACACGAUUAAGUGCUUUCUAGAUUUUUGAUGCAUUUACUGGUGAACUGUUUAUUUUUCACAUAUAUUAUAAAAUGCUAUUUUAAACUGCAAAUGAUAUUUGUAAAACAAUUUAUUUCUGUUUUUAAAUAAAUUCAUGAUUUGUACAAAGAAAAUAUCAUAUAUUGCCUAGACAUACAUCAUAUAAUUUGUUUAUAUAAUGUAGAUAAAUUGUUCAAGCCUAGAUCAUUGUGUAUUUAUGAUUUUAAUUAAC
rnacentral:lncRNA from 1 species